AACGAACGCUGGCGGCAUGCCUAACACAUGCAAGUCGAACGAGACCUUCGGGUCUAGUGGCGCACGGGUGCGUAACGCGUGGGAACCUGCCCUUAGGUUCGGAAUAACUCCCCGAAAGGGGUGCUAAUACCGGAUAAUGUCUUCGGACCAAAGAUUUAUCGCCUUUGGAUGGGCCCGCGUUGGAUUCGCUAGUUGGUAGGGUAAAAGCCUACCAAGGCGACGAUCCAUAGCUGGUUUGAGAGGAUGAUCAGCCACACUGGGACUGAGACACGGCCCAGACUCCUACGGGAGGCAGCAGUGGGGAACAUUGGACAAUGGGCGAAAGCCUGAUCCAGCAAUGCCGCGUGAGUGAUGAAGGCCUUAGGGUUGUAAAGCUCUUCUACCCGGGAUGAUAAUGACAGUACCGGGAGAAUAAGCUCCGGCUAACUCCGUG
rnacentral:rRNA from 1 species